ensembl:lncRNA
GGAUUGGCAGAAACUGUUUUCUAAUCCCAUCCUUCAUUUUAAUGGUGGUGUUAUAGAAAGAGAAUCUGUGGAAGAGAGGUUAACACACUCUUUACAUGCUGCUUCAGCUCUUUUUUCAUUAUUUAAUCAUCCUGAAAUCAAAAAUGUUUAAUGAACAUGUUCAUGAGCUGUACCAAAGCCAUUUUCAGGAUCACAAACAUCAAUACCGGGGAUUUUUAUCCCUGUACAUUUGUGAAAAUCAAGAGCAGAUUGAUUCUCUGUUUGACUGUAUCCUAUGGAAUCCAUUUCCACCACAGAAUUAAGAAAGAAAAAAAAAGUUAAUGUUAUCAUGAAAUCUGUAGCCUGGAAACCCAUUUUUGGGAAUUCAGAUUAUCAACCGGAAGACGUUAAGCAUUACCAUGCGACUCAGAUUAAAGCAGCAGCAGGUCCUGUGGAAAAUUCUGACUCCAAAACCUUAAAAGGUGAAAGCAAAACAGCCACAGGACAAGAACAUUUCCACAUGCUUUCCUUCCUGACCUUUCAUUAUACAAGAGCUGGAGGCUGCUUCUAUUCUCAGCAUAAUACAUAAUCAGAUUCCACGGCGUGAUUUUGAAUCCGUCUGAGAUCUGAAGGUUUACUGUAACGUGAGGAAUUUUACUGUUUUCAGCACAAACACCAGAGAACUUUGAUGUCCUUCAUGCUGCUGGAAAUUAAUAUCCUGAAAAUAUCCCAAAACUGAUGCUGUUGAUCUCAAAACACAACACAGCAUCAACUGACUCUGUACUGAGAGUUAACUGAGAGAGUGUUUCUAAACCACAGAAACCCUUUGGUCAUUUCUUUUUUUUUUUCUGUUACAAGACAGAAGAUCAGUGGAGACAAAAGAACAUGCGUUGAGAUGUAAAGAGAGAAAUCCUCAUGUAGUGAACUGGGGCAAAGCAGAUGUCUGUUCAAACGAGUUCUUUGAUUCAAGACUACAUACUAUUUCUCAGAGGUGAUCCCGAACAAGUGAAGCUGGAUCACAAAUGAUUUGCGGGAACAUAGAUGCAUUUAGGCAAAUCGGGGAUCGGCGCAUUCCCUUCAAAAACAAAAGUAAUCCACUGUGUCUUCAGUGGUUCAGAUGUCAAGAGUAGGACAACUGCUACGUUCAUUAUUACAUCCAACAACAAAACAACUCAAUUGCUUAGGAGUCAUUCUUGUCUACAUCCCUGAUCCGGUGUUAAAACAAUGGCAGAUUGUUGACAGCUCACUCAGGGCGGAUCUAAGUUAAAACACCAAUGUCAGUCAACAGUUGUGGGAGGGGCCUGGGUCUGUGUGACAUCACACAGCCAAGAAGCUGAGAAUGGCUUGAUUUGUGAAAGGGGAUAUUAUUUAUAGAGAUUAAAAAAAGUAGAUUUUUAUCAUUAAAAUGUAUAUUUAAAUAUAUAUAUAUAUAUAUAUAUAUAUAU